rnacentral:rRNA from 1 species
GACGAACGCUGGCGGCGUGCUUAACACAUGCAAGUCGAACGGAAAGGCCCUGCUUUUGUGGGGUGCUCGAGUGGCGAACGGGUGAGUAACACGUGAGUAACCUGCCCUUGACUUUGGGAUAACUUCAGGAAACUGGGGCUAAUACCGGAUAGGAGCUCCUGCUGCAUGGUGGGGGUUGGAAAGUUUCGGCGGUUGGGGAUGGACUCGCGGCUUAUCAGCUUGUUGGUGGGGUAGUGGCUUACCAAGCCUUUGACGGGUAGCCGGCCUGAGAGGGUGACCGGCCACAUUGGGACUGAGAUACGGCCCAGACUCCUACGGGAGGCAACAGUGGGGAACAUUGCACAAUGGGCGGAAGCCUGAUGCAGCAACGCCGCGUGCGGGAUGACGGCCUUCGGGUUGUAAACCGCUUUCGCCUGUGACGAAGCGUGAGUGACGGUAAUGGGUAAAGAAGCACCGGCUAACUACGUG